rnacentral:rRNA from 1 species
GGUGAAAAGCACCCCGGAAGGGGAGUGAAAUAGAACCUGAAACCGUGUGCUUACAAGUAGUCAGAGCCCGUUAAUGGGUGAUGGCGUGCCUUUUGUAGAAUGAACCGGCGAGUUACGAUUUGAUGCAAGGUUAAGCAGUAAAUGUGGAGCCGUAGCGAAAGCGAGUCUGAAUAGGGCGUUUAGUAUUUGGUCGUAGACCCGAAACCAGGUGAUCUACCCUUGGUCAGGUUGAAGUUCAGGUAACACUGAAUGGAGGACCGAACCGACUUACGUUGAAAAGUGAGCGGAUGAACUGAGGGUAGCGGAGAAAUUCCAAUCGAACCUGGAGAUAGCUGGUUCUCUCCGAAAUAGCUUUAGGGCUAGCCUCAAGUGAUGAUUAUUGGAGGUAGAGCACUGUUUGGACGAGGGGCCCCUCUCGGGUUACCGAAUUCAGACAAACUCCGAAUGCCAAUUAAUUUAACUUGGGAGUCAGAACAUGGGUGAUAAGGUCCGUGUUCGAAAGGGAAACAGCCCAGACCACCAGCUAAGGUCCCAAAAUAUAUGUUAAGUGGAAAAGGAUGUGGCGUUGCCCAGACAACUAGGAUGUUGGCUUAGAAGCAGCCAUCAUUUAAAGAGUGCGUAAUAGCUCACUAGUCGAGUGACACUGCGCCGAAAAUGUACCGGGGCUAAACAUAUUACCGAAGCUGUGGAUUGUCCUUUGGACAAUGGUAGGAGAGCGUUCUAAGGGCGUUGAAGCAUGAUCGUAAGGACAUGUGGAGCGCUUAGAAGUGAGAAUGCCGGUGUGAGUAGCGAAAGACGGGUGAGAAUCCCGUCCACCGAUUGACUAAGGUUUCCAGAGGAAGGCUCGUCCGCUCUGGGUUAGUCGGGUCCUAAGCUGAGGCCGACAGGCGUAGGCGAUGGAUAACAGGUUGAUAUUCCUGUACCACCUAUAAUCGUUUUAAUCGAUGGGGGGACGCAGUAGGAUAGGCGAAGCGUGCGAUUGGAUUGCACGUCUAAGCAGUAAGGCUGAGUAUUAGGCAAAUCCGGUACUCAUUAAGGCUGAGCUGUGAUGGGGAGAAGACAUUGUGUCUUCGAGUCGUUGAUUUCACACUGCCGAGAAAAGCCUCUAGAUAGAAAAUAGGUGCCCGUACCGCAAACCGACACAGGUAGUCAAGAUGAGAAUUCUAAGGUGAGCGAGCGAACUCUCGUUAAGGAACUCGGCAAAAUGACCCCGUAACUUCGGGAGAAGGGGUGCUCUUUAGGGUUAACGCCCAGAAGAGCCGCAGUGAAUAGGCCCAAGCGACUGUUUAUCAAAAACACAGGUCUCUGCUAAACCGUAAGGUGAUGUAUAGGGGCUGACGCCUGCCCGGUGCUGGAAGGUUAAGAGGAGUGGUUAGCUUCUGCGAAGCUACGAAUCGAAGCCCCAGUAAACGGCGGCCGUAACUAUAACGGUCCUAAGGUAGCGAAAUUCCUUGUCGGGUAAGUUCCGACCCGCACGAAAGGCGUAACGAUUUGGGCACUGUCUCAACGAGAGACUCGGUGAAAUCAUAGU